GCAAGCUCCAGCUGCCAAGAUGGCAGGAAAGCUGCCUGAGAGCCAGACCUGAGGCACUUUUCCCUGCAGAAGACUCAGCAGAGGAAGAGCAAGCCCAUGAAAGGUCCCAGAGUGAAUUGGAACUGAUGUCACCACCCUGCGCACUACAAAAAAACGGCUGAUGUUAGAACUGAAGAGGGCGGCUGGGUGCCUCAGUUUGUUAGAGCGCAUGCUCUGAAGAACAAGGUUGCCGGUUUGAUUCCCACAUGGGCCAGUGAGCUGCACCCUCCGCAACUAGAUUGAAGACAACGACUUGCGCUGAGCUGCUGGUGGGCGGCUGGAUGGCUCAGUUGGUUACAGUGUGUGCUGAUAACAAGAUUGCUGGCUGGAUUCCUGAAUGGGAUGGUGGGCUGUGCCCCCCGCAAGUAGACUGAAAAUGGCGACUGGACUUGGAGCUGA